AGUCCACAUCGACGGGGAGGUUUGGCACCUCGAUGUCGGCUCAUCACAUCCUGGGGCUGUAGUAGGUCCCAAGGGUUGGGCUGUUCGCCCAUUAAAGUGGUACGCGGGCUGGGUUCAGAACGUCGUGGGACAGUUCGGUCCCUAUCCGUCGCAGGCGUAGGAAAUUUGAGAAGACCUGUCCUUAGUACGAGAGGACCGGGAUGGACGUACCUCUGGUGUACCAGUUGUCCUGCCAAGGGCAUGGCUGGGUAGCUAUGUACGGAAUGGAUAAGCGCUGAAAGCAUCUAAGCGCGAAGCCAACUUCAAGAUAAGAUUUCCCACCGCAAGGGUAAGACCCCAGAAAGACUAUCUGGUUG
rnacentral:rRNA from 1 species